rnacentral:rRNA from 1 species
UACGAAUCGUCCAAACGUUGUUCGGAUUCACUGGGUUUAAAGGGCGCGUAGGCUGUGCGUUAAGUCGGUGGUGAAAUACUUCGGCUCAACCGGAGAAUUGCCGCUGAAACUGGCGCGCUAGAGGGAGGCAGAGGUGCAUGGAACUUCCGGUGGAGCGGUGAAAUGCGUUGAUAUCGGAAGGAACACCCGUGGCGAAAGCGGUGCACUGGACCUCUUCUGACGCUGAGGCGCGAAAGCCAGGGGAGCGAACGGG